rnacentral:rRNA from 1 species
AUGCGUUGUUGGGUAGGGGAGCGUUCUGUAAGCCUGUGAAGGUGUGCUGUGAGGCAUGCUGGAGGUAUCAGAAGUGCGAAUGCUGACAUAAGUAACGAUAAAGCGGGUGAAAAGCCCGCUCGCCGGAAGACCAAGGGUUCCUGUCCAACGUUAAUCGGGGCAGGGUGAGUCGACCCCUAAGGCGAGGCCGAAAGGCGUAGUCGAUGGGAAACAGGUUAAUAUUCCUGUACUUGGUGUUACUGCGAAGGGGGGACGGAGAAGGCUAUGUUGGCCGGGCGACGGUUGUCCCGGUUUAAGCGUGUAGGCUGGUUUUCCAGGCAAAUCCGGAAAAUCAAGGCUGAGGCGUGAUGACGAGGCACUACGGUGCUGAAGCAACAAAUGCCCUGCUUCCAGGAAAAGCCUCUAAGCAUCAGGUAACAUCAAAUCGUACCCCAAACCGACACAGGUGGUCAGGUAGAGAAUACCAAGGCGCUUGAGAGAACUCGGGUGAAGGAACUAGGCAAAAUGGUGCCGUAACUUCGGGAGAAGGCACGCUGAUAUGUAGGUGAAGUCCCUCGCGGAUGGAGCUGAAAUCAGUCGAAGAUACCAGCUGGCUGCAACUGUUUAUUAAAAACACAGCACUGUGCAAACACGAAAGUGGACGUAUACGGUGUGACGCCUGCCCGGUGCCGGAAGGUUAAUUGAUGGGGUUAGCGCAAGCGAAGCUCUUGAUCGAAGCCCCGGUAAACGGCGGCCGUAACUAUAACGGUCCUAAGGUAGCGAAAUUCCUUGUCGGGUAAGUUCCGACCUGCACGAAUGGCGUAAUGAUGGCCAGGCUGUCUCCACCCGAGACUCAGUGAAAUUGAACUCGCUGUGAAGAUGCAGUGUACCCGCGGCAAGACGGAAAGACCCCGUGAACCUUUACUAUAGCUUGACACUGAACAUUGAGCCUUGAUGUGUAGGAUAGGUGGGAGGCUUUGAAGUGUGGACGCCAGUCUGCAUGGAGCCGACCUUGAAAUACCACCCUUUAAUGUUUGAUGUUCUAACGUUGACCCGUAAUCCGGGUUGCGGACAGUGUCUGGUGGGUAGUUUGACUGGGGCGGUCUCCUCCUAAAGAGUAACGGAGGAGCACGAAGGUUGGCUAAUCCUGG